rnacentral:rRNA from 1 species
UUCCGGUUGAUCCUGCCGGACCCGACUGCUAUCAGAGUGGGACUAAGCCAUGCGAGUCAACGCCGCAAGGCGUGGCAUACGGCUCAGUAACACGUAGUCAACAUGCCCAAGGGACGUGGAUAACCUCGGGAAACUGAGGAUAAACCGCGAUAGGCCAAGAUUUCUGGAAUGGAUCAUGGCUGAAAUCUAUAUGGCCCUUGGAUUGGACUGCGGCCGAUCAGGCUGUUGGUGAGGUAAUGGCCCACCAAACCUAUAACCGGUACGGGCUUUGAGAGAAGGAGCCCGGAGAUGGGCACUGAGACAAGGGCCCAGGCCCUAUGGGGCGCAGCAGGCGCGAAAACUCUGCAAUAGGCGAAAGCUUGACAGGGUUACUCUGAGUGAUGUCCGCUAAGGGCAUCUUUUGGCACCUCUAAAAAUGGUGCAGAAUAAGGGGUGGGCAAGUCUGGUGUCAGCCGCCGCGGUAAUACCAGCACCCCGAGUGGUCGGGACGAUUAUUGGGCCUAAAGCAUCCGUAGCUUGUCCUGCAAGUCUUCCGUUAAAUCCACCUGCUCAACAGAUGGGCUGCGGAGGAUACUACAGGGCUAGGAGGCGGGAGAGGCAAGCGGUACUCAGUGGGUAGGGGUAAAAUCCUCUGAUCCACUGAAGACCACCAGUGGCGAAGGCGGCUUGCCAGAACGCGCUCGACGGUGAGGGAUGAAAGCUGGGGGAGCAAACCGGAUUAGAUACCCGGGUAGUCCCAGCUGUAAACGAUGCAGACUCGGUGGAUGGGGUUGGCUUCGCGCCAACCCAGUGCCGCAGGGAAGCCGUUAAGUCUGCCGCCUGGGGAGUACGGUCGCAAGACUGAAACUUAAAGGAAUUGGCGGGGGAGCACCACAAGGGGUGAAGCCUGCGGUUCAAUUGGAAUCAACGCCGGA